GAGCAUAUGUAUGACAUUAUGACCACACAUGUGAUAAUCACACAAUUAUUACACAGGUAUUACAUUAUAUAGGACCUAUAUUAUUAUGAGCAUAUAAAUGUAUCAUUCAGCCCUUUUGCAAGAUGACUGACUAUCCAUGAGUGUGUCUGAGAUUUUAUGAUCUCCCCCAGUCUCAGCAAUUGAAUACAUGUCGUUCCUGAUCUUUUUUGAUGGAUCAGGUUGUUGACGAUACAUGAAUAUAUUUAUUUUCUGAACCCUCUUCUUUACGGCUCCUUCCUAUUUUACUAUCAUCACUCUGAAGGAGCUGAGUCCUGGGCUCUCAUGUAGGGCUGGGAGUCUGUUCACCCUGACUUCUAGGACCUAGUGCAUUUGCACCAGGAGCACCUCACCUUCGUUUGGCAUGCUCAUGCGGGCCGUGUUCUCAUCUAGUCUCUUCUCACAUUCUUAAAGAGUCUGUUUGAUCUCCUGUGUCCCAUCCAGAAGGGUGUCACCUCCCUCAGGAAGCCUUUCUAAGGUCCAGAUUGACAUAGGUGUGCCGCCCAUCUGUUUCCACAGAGUGCUGCUCCUACCACUGUUGAGGUCCCAACGUGUCUCAGGCUUGUUGACAUUUCAGCUGCCGUGCAACUCGCCAGCUUCUGCUGCCUUCGAGUGUUGCUGUCACUGCUGAGGAAGCCUGCAUCAGCCCAGAGUCGUGCUGGCCUCCUCUCUGCCUAGCAAGGUGAUGCCUGGUCUGCAGUCCAACACUCAGGACCCCCGAAAGCACAGAGUGUCAGCAUUCACCUCCCACUUUUCUAUGCGGUGUCAGCCCAUCUACGUUGCCAUAAAGGAGUAUCUGAGACUGAAUGAUUGAUGAAGAAUAGAGGUUUGUUUUGGCUUAUGG
rnacentral:lncRNA from 1 species